rnacentral:rRNA from 1 species
CCUACGGGAGGCAGCAGUGGGGAAUAUUGCACAAUGGGCGCAAGCCUGAUGCAGCGACGCCGCGUGGGGGAUGACGGCCUUCGGGUUGUAAACCCCUUUCAGCACAGACGAAGCGCAAGUGACGGUAUGUGCAGAAGAAGGACCGGCCAACUACGUGCCAGCAGCCGCGGUAAUACGUAGGGUCCGAGCGUUGUCCGGAAUUACUGGGCGUAAAGAGCUCGUAGGUGGUUUGUCGCGUUGUUCGUGAAAACUCACAGCUCAACUGUGGGCGUGCGGGCGAUACGGGCAGACUGGAGUACUGCAGGGGAGACUGGAAUUCCUGGUGUAGCGGUGGAAUGCGCAGAUAUCAGGAGGAACACCGGUGGCGAAGGCGGGUCUCUGGGCAGUAACUGACGCUGAGGAGCGAAAGCGUGGGGAGCGAACAGGAUUAGAUACCCUGGUAGUCCACGCCGUAAACGGUGGGUACUAGGUGUGGGUUUCCUUCCUUGGGAUCCGUGCCGUAGCUAACGCAUUAAGUACCCCGCCUGGGGAGUACGGCCGCAAGGCUAAAACUCAAAGAAAUUGACGGGGGCCCGCACAAGCGGCGGAGCAUGUGGAUUAAUUCGAUGCAACGCGAAGAACCUUACCUGGGUUUGACAUGCACAGGACGUGCCUAGAGAUAGGUAUUCCCUUGUGGUCUGUGUGCAGGUGGUGCAUGGCUGUCGUCAGCUCGUGUCGUGAGAUGUUGGGUUAAGUCCCGCAACGAGCGCAACCCUUGUCUUAUGUUGCCAGCACGUAAUGGUGGGGACUCGUAAGAGACUGCCGGGGUCAACUCGGAGGAGGGGGGGGAUGACGUCAAGUCAUCAUGCCCCUUAUGUCCAGGGCUUCACACAUGCUACAAUGGCCGGUACAAAGGGCUGCGAUGCCGUGAAGUGAGCGAAUCCUUUCAAAGCCGUCUCAGUUCGGAUCGGGUCUGCACUCGACUCGUGAAGUCGGAGUCGCUAGUAAUCGCAGAAUCAGCACGCCGCGUGAAUACGUUCCCGGG